rnacentral:rRNA from 1 species
UACGUAGGGAGCAAGCGUUGUCCGGAAUCAUUGGGCGUAAAGCGCGCGUAGGUGGCCCUGUAAGUCCGCUGUGAAAGUCAAAGGCUCAACCUUUGAAAGCCGGUGGAUACUGUAGGGCUAGAGUACGGAAGAGGCGAGUGGAAUUCCUGGUGUAGCGGUGGAAUGCGCAGAUAUCAGGAGGAACACCAAUAGCGAAGGCAGCUCGCUGGGACGUUACUGACACUGAGGCGCGAAAGCGUGGGGAGCGAACAGG